rnacentral:rRNA from 1 species
UAGAGUUUGAUCCUGGCUCAGGAUGAACGCUGGCUGUAUGCCUAACACAUGCAAGUCGUACGAGAGUUUUUAACUCUAGUGGCGGACGGGUGAGUAACACGUGAGAAUUUGCCUUUAGGAGGGGGACAACAAUUGGAAACGAAUGCUAAUACCCCAUAUGCUUUCGAGUGAAAUGGAUUUAUAUUUAUCCGCCUAGAGAGAAGCUCGCGGCUGAUUAGCUUGUUGGUAAGGUAAGAGCUUACCAAGGCGACGAUCAGUAUCUGGUUUGAGAGGACGAUCAGACACACUGGAACUGAGACACGGUCCAGACUCCUACGGGAGGCAGCAGUGGGGAAUUUUCCGCAAUGGGCGAAAGCCUGACGGAGCAAUACAGCGUGAGGGAAGACUGCCUAUGGGUUGUAAACCUCUUUUUUCAGGGAGGAAUAAAUGACGUGUACCUGAAGAAUAAGCAUCGGCUAACUCCGUGCCAGCAGCCGCGGUAAGACGGAGGAUGCAAGUGUUAUCCGGAAUCACUGGGCGUAAAGCGUCUGUAGGUGGUUUAAUAAGUCAACUGUUAAAUCUUGAGGCUCAACUUCAAAAUCGCAGUCGAAACUAUUAGACUAGAGUAUAGUAGAGGUAAAGGGAAUUUCC